rnacentral:tRNA from 1 species
UCAGUGGUGGUUCAGUGGUAGAAUUCUUGACUUCUCAAGAGACCUCAGGUUCAGUUCCUGGCCAACGCA